UACAGUGAAAACGAAAUUAUAUUAGCAAGACCUAUUGAUAGUUUACAGCUGAACUGUACAUUAAUAUACAAUAAUGUGCAUGUCACUGAAAAAUAAACUUCUAAUUCUAACUAUCUGGAAGCUGAAUCGAUCUAAGAAGAUUCAAUUUCUCAGUUGAAAUGAGUCUAAAGCCCUAUAGCUAAUUGUACACCAGAUUCCCAACUUUCACAGCUUCCAUGGAUAUUUCUUCUACAACAAUAUGAAAGCUUUCCUUACACAUUCCUCUUCCACAUUAUUUCUCUGAAAAAACAUGUUAUAACAUGUCAAUUGAAUUAGUUCUGUCCUGUGAAUCCUGCAAUAAAACCACAUAAAGAUCAGAGAAAGGAAACAAAUACAAUGAGAAACAGAGUUGGAUGAUGUUAAAUAAACAAUUUACGUUGAUGCCAGUGAAAAUUUACAGUUUCGGUCAGUAUAUCUGUUUCUUCUCUAUAGAACUAAGAUUUUUUGUAAAAGACUUGGGUUGACUGGUUAUGCUUGGCGUCACUAGUAAUCUUCAGUCCAAUAAAAAUUAUACACAAGUGAGGAUGACAGAACAGAGAAGUAUAAGUCAGUCGAUCUAGAGAUAGGGCAACUAAUGUGUCAAUCAGAUGAUGAAUACACUGUUCUCAAUUAUAUUUGUCAGUUAAAAUGGUUGGACCUUGGAUAAAUCACACACCUUGUAUUGAUUCAACACUGAAUGAUAUGAACAUGUAUUCGUUGCACUUGCAAAACAUCAUCCAUUGAAUAUUUCCCUAACGUUCAGUUCCUCGUAUAUCUGCAAACGGCAACAAAACACCACUAGUUAUGGCAGUGUCAAUAUUGACCAGCUACUGUGCUGACGGAAAGAAAUUACUAUGCUGUUUGGUUAUAGCCAACAACAAUCUGAC
rnacentral:lncRNA from 1 species